rnacentral:misc_RNA from 1 species
GAUGAAGGAACGUAGCGAAAUGCGAUACUUGGUGUGAAUUGCAGAAUCCCGUGAACCAUCGAGUCUUUGAACGCAAGUUGCGCCCGAAGCCAUUAGGCCGAGGGCACGCCUGCCUGGGCGUCACACGUCGUUGCCCCCCCAUCUACUCCUUCGGGAUUGCGGGGGGCGGAUGAUGGCCUCCCGUGCGCCUCGUCGCGCGGUUGGCCUAAAUGCCAAGUCCUCGGCGACGCACGCCACGACAAUCGGUGGUUGCGAAACCUCGGUUGCCUGUCGUGUGCGGUCGUCGCGCAUCGAGGGCUCGAAAAAAUUGCCGGGCUUCGGCUCGACUUUCAACGCGACCCCAGGUCAGGCGGGGUUACCCGCUGAAUUUAAGCAUAUCAAUAAGCGGAGGA